UACGAAGGGGGCUAGCGUUGCUCGGAAUUACUGGGCGUAAAGCGCACGUAGGCGGGUUCUUAAGUCGGUGGUGAAAUCCCGGAGCUCAACUCCAGAACUGCCUUCGAAACUGGGAAUCUUGAGUCCGGGAGAGGUGAGUGGAACUGCGAGUGUAGAGGUGAAAUUCGUAGAUAUUCGCAAGAACACCAGUGGCGAAGGCGGCUCACUGGCCCGGUACUGACGCUGAGGUGCGAAAGCGUGGGGAGCAAACAGG
rnacentral:rRNA from 1 species